UACGAAGGGGGCGAGCGUUGUUCGGAAUUACUGGGCGUAAAGGCGCGUAGGCGGCCGAUCAAGUCAGAUGUGAAAGUCAUGGGCUUAACCUGGGGACUGCAUUUGAUACUGAUUGGCUUGAAUUCGGGAGAGGAUAGCGGAAUUCCCAGUGUAGAGGUGAAAUUCGUAGAUAUUGGGAAGAACACCGGUGGCGAAGGCGGCUAUCUGGACCGACAUUGACGCUGAGGCGCGAAAGCGUGGGGAGCAACAGG
rnacentral:rRNA from 1 species